GAUGAACGCUGACAGAAUGCUUAACACAUGCAAGUCGAUUCGAUUUACCUUCGGGUAUUGAGGAUGGCGGACGGGUGAGUAACGCGUAAGGAACUUGCCUCUUGGUCUGGGACAACUGUUGGAAACGACAGCUAAUACCGGAUAUUAUGAGAUUCUCGCAUGGGAAACUUAUGAAAGCUAUAUGCGCCAAGAGAGAGCCUUGCGUUCCAUUAGCUAGUUGGUGGGGUAAUGGCCCACCAAGGCGACGAUGGAUAGCCGGCCUGAGAGGGUGAACGGCCACAAGGGGACUGAGACACGGCCCUUACUCCUACGGGAGGCAGCAGUGGGGAAUAUUGGACAAUGGGCCACAAGCCUGAUCCAGCAAUUCUGUGUGCACGAUGAAGGUCUUCGGACUGUAAAGUGCUUUCAGUUGGGAAGAAGAAAGUGACGGUACCAACAGAAGAAGCGACGGCUAAAUACGUGCCAGCAGCCGCGGUAAUACGUAUGUCGCAAGCGUUAUCCGGAUUUAUUGGGCGUAAAGCGCGUCUAGGCGGAAAAAUAAGUCUGAUGUUAAAAUGCGGGGCUCAACUCCGUAUUGCGUUGGAAACUGUUUUUCUAGAGUACUGGAGAGGUGGGCGGAACUACAAGUGUAGAGGUGAAAUUCGUAGAUAUUUGUAGGAAUGCCGAUGGAGAAGUCAGCUCACUGGACAGAUACUGACGCUGAAGCGCGAAAGCGUGGGGAGCAAACANGAUUAGA
rnacentral:rRNA from 1 species